AUUGAACGCUGGCGGUAUGCCUUACACAUGCAAGUCGAACGGUAGAGGGGCAACCCUUGAGAGUGGCGAACGGGUGAGUAAUACAUCGGAACGUGCCCAGUCGUGGGGGAUAACGUAGCGAAAGCUACGCUAAUACCGCAUACGACCUGAGGGUGAAAGCGGGGGAUCGCAAGACCUCGCGCGAUUGGAGCGGCCGAUGGCAGAUUAGGUAGUUGGUGGGGUAAAGGCCUACCAAGCCUGCGAUCUGUAGCUGGUCUGAGAGGACGACCAGCCACACUGGGACUGAGACACGGCCCAGACUCCUACGGGAGGCAGCAGUGGGGAAUUUUGGACAAUGGGCGAAAGCCUGAUCCAGCCAUACCGCGUGCGGGAAGAAGGCCUCGGUGUAACGACUUUGUUCAGGGAAGAAAGUACUUCUGGG
rnacentral:rRNA from 1 species